rnacentral:lncRNA from 1 species
AUAGGAAAUGAGGAAAGUAUUUGAAAAAGUGUGGUCACUAGGAAUCGAAGUAGGUUAUGCGCUGGAAAUAGAAAAUAAAUUCCAAAAUGGCGCUGCCAGGGAUCGAAUGGAGGGAGCAUCAAAACGCACAACACAACUAAACGCGCUGGCAUUACGUGUGGCAGUCAAAGGCCUAGUGUACGCAGUCAAACAAAUUUGGACCAAAUGUUUUG